AGCCAUCCUUUAAUAUAAUCCUAAAAUUCAUCGUCAGAAUUCACGAUAUACAAAGAUUUUAUCUUUUUCGUUUUACUGACCGCAUAUUGCACAAUUUAAUGUUGUUCACGAGGUAUUUUAACAGUGAAGAUAUUUUCAGGCUGUUCGCCAUAUCAAGUAGCUUUCCACGCGGAUCGUUUAGUUGUGACGUCUUUCAAUGAUGAGACUUUACACAGACCUGUUCUGAAUUACUGUGAUUGGAACUUAGUAUUUCUGAUGAGAGACGUGUGUACCCAUUAACGUGUGAAAUGCUGUUUUGGUGGAGCACGUGUUCUCAUCGUGGUAAUGCUUUCAUUCAUACUUCUCCCCCCCUCCCCAAAGAUGCAGUCGGCUACUGGAAACAAUCUGAUGCUCAGCAAUUUAACACUGAGGCCAGAAAGGAAAAGGACAAACUUGCUGGUUUGUUCUGUGACUGGAGGAUGUUGGGCUCUGUUAUAAUGAUGGGUUGUGCUGGUUCAUGUUCUGUGUCCGGAGUCUGACUUCUGAAUUGCCAUUGUACAGCUGUUAUGAGUGCUGGACAGAAUUCCAGACUACAAGACUGCAAUCCCUGAUGUGCCUUGAGUUCAGACAUGGGUAGUUCCAGGAUCUCGGGCAUUAAUUGGUUGUUGCCCCUUUGUGGUCAGUGGACUUGCAGUCUUUACUGAACUCACUGGAGUUUACUGUCCUCACUGAAGAUUGUGGCAGUUCUGGGUUGCAGAGUUAUUCAGGUGUCAUGAGGCUGAGAAGGGAUGUUACUAAGAUGUUCCCUCCGUUAUGCAACUAAGCCUAGAUGGACUCAAGGUUCUGCCUUCCAGACCAGUAAUUUGAAAAUAUUUGCUGUGGACAGUGAAGUCUAAAGAACCCCCUCAACCAGCAGUGAUGUCUUGCUGUGGUUGGAACAUUGCUGGCCAUUUCAACACUUUUAACCUUAAACAUGGAUUUCUAACAUUUCCAUGUUUUCUUUUGUGGUAAAUUAAUGUGAGUUAGUAGUGAACUUACAGCACUGGUGUGUUUGAUGGGUCAAUAUUGCUGUAAAUGUUGAUGCAAAUUUUUGUCUUUGUCGCCAUCUGCAUGCUGUUCUGUAGGACACAAUUGGAUGUUGAUGGAAUGACUUAAAUAUUAGCUACAGCUGAUGCGUAAGUGGAGUAAUGUCUGCAUACAUUUAUCAAUCUUGAGCUGCCUGGCAAGGGUGUUGUAAUGCUGCUGCUCUAUGAAGUGUAUAGUUAAAAUGAAAUGAUUAGGGGUGAAAACAGUCAUUGUUCUGGAGCAUGUGGAUAUGCUACUUGUCUAAACAAGAAUAAAACAUUGUCAUAAUAUGGA